rnacentral:rRNA from 1 species
CCUACGGGUGGCAGCAGUGAGGAAUAUUGGUCAAUGGGCGGAAGCCUGAACCAGCCAAGUCGCGUGAGGGAAUAAGGUCCUACGGGUCGUAAACCUCUUUUGCCGGGGAGCAAGCGUGGGGUCGUGUCCCGGCCCGGAGAGUACCCGGAGAAAAAGCAUCGGCUAACUCCGUGCCAGCAGCCGCGGUAAUACGGAGGAUGCGAGCGUUAUCCGGAUUUAUUGGGUUUAAAGGGUGCGUAGGCGGGAUGUUAAGUCAGCGGUAAAAAUGCGGUGCUCAACGCCGUCGGGCCGUUGAAACUGGGGGCCUUGAGUGGGCGAGAAGUAUGCGGAAUGCGUGGUGUAGCGGUGAAAUGCAUAGAUAUCACGCAGAACCCCGAUUGCGAAGGCAGCCUUCCGGCGCCCUACUGACGCUGAGGCACGAAAGUGCGGGGAUCGAACAGGAUUAGAUACCCUAGUAGUC